rnacentral:rRNA from 1 species
GAUGAACGCUGGCGGCGUGCCUAAUACAUGCAAGUCGAGCGAACGGACGAGAAGCUUGCUUUUCUGAUGUUAGCGGCGGACGGGUGAGUAACACGUGGAUAACCUACCUAUAAGACUGGGAUAACUUCGUGAAACCGGAGCUAAUACCGGAUAAUAUUUUGAACCGCAUGGUUCAAAAGUGAAAGACGGUCCUGCUGUCACUUAUAGAUGGAUCCGCGCUGCAUUAGCUAGUUGGUAAGGUAACGGCUUACCAAGGCAACGAUGCAUAGCCGACCUGAGAGGGUGAUCGGCCACACUGGAACUGAGGCACGGUCCACACUCCUACGGGAGGCAGCAGUAGGGAAUCUUCCGCAAUGGGCGAAAGCCUGACGGAGCAACGCCGCGUGAGUGAUGAAGGUCUUCGGAUCGUAAAACUCUGUUAUUAGGGAAGAACAUAUGUGUAAGUAACUGUGCACAUCUUGACGGUACCUAAUCAGAAAGCCACGGCUAACUACGUG